ACCCAGCUGACGAGUCCCGAAUAGGACGAAAUGCGUGUCCUAGAU
rnacentral:hammerhead_ribozyme from 1 species